UCCNGGCUUGUUGUUUGGUGUAUACAGGA
rnacentral:piRNA from 1 species